rnacentral:rRNA from 1 species
AUUGAACGCUGGCGGCAGGCCUAACACAUGCAAGUCGAACGGUAACAGAAAGCAGCUUGCUGCUUUUCUGACGAGUGGCGGACGGGUGAGUAAUGUCUGGGAAACUGCCUGAUGGAGGGGGAUAACUACUGGAAACGGUAGCUAAUACCGCAUAACGUCGCAAGACCAAAGAGGGGGACCUUCGGGCCUCUUGCCAUCGGAUGUGCCCAGAUGGGAUUAGCUAGUAGGUGGGGUAAAGUCUCACCUAGGUGACGAUCCCUAGCUGGUCUGAGAGGAUGAGCAGCCACACUGGAACUGAGACACGGUCCAGACUCCUACGGGAGGCAGCAGUGGGGAAUAUUGCACAAUGGGCGCAAGCCUGAUGCAGCCAUGCCGCGUGUAUGGAGACGGCCUUCGGGUUGUAAAGUACUUUCAGCGGGGAGGAAGGGAGUAAAGUUAAUACCUUUGCUCAUUGACGUUACCCGCAGAAGAAGCACCGGCUAACUACGUG